rnacentral:misc_RNA from 1 species
UGCUAGGUGCCAGAGAAGCUAGUGUGGUAUUGCAAUUCACAAGAAGUUUUUACUGUAAAUGCUAUGAAGUGAUGAGUGGGGUAAGGGGUUCAUAUGGUCAGAUUUGAGGAUAACCAAGUCGCUAGUUUGGCUUAGUGGCUAGGAACUGGCCGCUAGGUGCCAGAGAAACUAGUAUGGUAAUGCAAUUCACAAGAAGCUUUUUCUGCAAGUGCUAUGCAGUGAUGAGUGGAAUUAGGGUCAUAUGGUCAGAUUUGAGGAAAACUGAGUCGCUAUUUUCAUGGAAUUUGUGAAAUUUUAAUUCUGCACGCUCAUAAUCCCCUGUAGGUGUUUUUUUUCAUAUGCAAGCAGUCAAUGGGCAGAAUCCAUUAAUUUGAUUUUAUUUUGCUACUCUGGGUAUAUGUUUGAGUGAAAUGAAGGGCCUUUGCUGCAUCUCUGCAAAGUAUUUUCAUGUGCAUUAAAAAUUUCAGUCUUUAACAGUACAAGGAGGUACUCCUCUCCAUCUUUGCUGGGAGUAUGGGGUAUAUAUAGGAUUCUAUACAUAUUCUUCUUCUUUGUUGGGAGUAUAGGUACUUCUACCUUUUGCACCAAAAAUUGACCACAAAAGUUGCAUGCUGAUAAGCUUGAUUGGCUUCGUCCUCCGCUAUAACAUUAUAAUUCAAAAUAUAUUGUUUAUUAUUUAUUUUUUAUAUAAAAUUUCUUAAAAAAAAACCAUAAAUAUUUGAUUUACUCAAUCACUAAAUCGAGUGAUAUAUACUAUUAUUUGUUGAUUCCCUUGUUCAUACAAAGUAGAAUACAGAAGCCAAACUGAGAUAAAAGAAUCAAGAGAGACAUGCAAUUGAUAAUAAUAGUAAGAGUUUACAAGCAGCAUGUGUGUGCAAUCAAUGGAGAAAUUUAUUGGCUUCUAUAUGAGAAAAUAAUUAAGAUUUAUUUUUUGAGAUGAAUAAAUGAGAAUUAAGAGGCUUUCGAUUAAUUAAUUAGAAUGUGAAUUGAUAAGCAGUAUUAUAAGCUAGCUAUUAGGCUUAGCAAAGCCCUUAAUUUUAAGCAUCAACAUUUUCUCUUGAUUAUAUUUAAGCCCAUGUCAUAAUUAGGCUUUACAAAGCCAUCAAUACUUGAACAAUAUACCAUAUUUGUUUGGGCCAAUUUGAGUGGCCUGUAGUUCAUAUUAUCUAUUGAAGUAUAUUAUUUUCUUAUUUCUUUUUAUUAAUUCUAUUUAUGUUCUCUGUCUGCUAAAAUUCUAUUUUAACUUGAUAAAAUAUAAAUGUAUUUAAUAAAAUUAAUUUAUUUAUAAUAAUAAAAAAUGCUCAUUGUAAAUAAUAUAAAAAUUUAAGGGUAUUUUUGGCAAUGUUAAUGUCCCCUUCUUCCUUCACACUUUUAUAUAUAGUAUAAAUUUACAUGUAUGAGUUAUCUGAUUAUUGGAAGGUAGCAGAAGGUAAAAUUUUAAGAAAGAAAGGGGAAAUGCAAUAAUGAUCAGCAAUGUAUAUAUUAAUGUUGUAUUCAACCUCUGUUCAUGUUAUAAUCUAGCAUUUGAUAAUGCUAAAUUUUUCCUAAGCCAAACAUUGUCUGCAAUUGUCAUAAAUGCAGCAUAAUGACUUAAAUGAUUCUAAUUCCGUAUUACCUUAUUGACUGACAUGUACAUAGGAGAAUUAUGUAUUUGAGGAGGAUAUUAAUGCUUAGUAGUGGCGAGCCAUCGAUUAACCGAGUUGAACCAAACAAAAGACCCAAACAAAUUGAAAUGAAUUUCCAAAAGUAGCCCAUUGGGUGAUCCAAACUUGCACAAUACUUAGUAGGGGUGAGGAAAGAAAAUAAGCAGGGGAAAAUAAUUUUGAUAAGAUCUUUUCCCCUGUUUGGAUAAAGGUGAGAAAAUAAUAGAGGGAAGGAAAUUUGGGUUUAUUAAGUUAAAGUUUAUUAGUCUAUGUAGCAUUCAUUUUUGAAUUAUUGCAGCUUUGUUUAAGUAAUUAAGUACUGAGUAAAUGACAUUUUUUUAAUGUAGGAAAAGCCAGAAUCACGCAAGUGGAUGCAUGCACCUAUCAAUAAUUAUGAUAAAGUAUUUGAGCUUUAUGGUGAGCAAAGAGCUACUGGUGAAUAUGCAGAAAGUGCAAGGGAAAAAGUUAGAAGUUGGCAAAGAGAGGGAAGUUCAUCCCAAAUUGAUUUGAAUGACACAUUUGUAAUGUAGUAAUGCCUGAUAGUGAUAUCAAUUGGAGUUAUGAGGUUACUAAUAACGAAUUGAAUAGUCCAGAACCUUCACUGCAAUCUUAAUGCACUUCUUCUAGAGGUUCUAAAUGCAAAACUUCUAUGAUGGAAAUGUUAGAGAGACAAUAUGAAAGGUUGAACUCAGGAAUUGAAUGUGUGUCUGAGGUCUUGGAGAGAGGAAACAUGAUUGUAGAAAAGUCUCUUGCAAUUCUAGAAAGUGGCUGACCCCAUUAUUAUAAGGAGGAAGAGUUAUUUGCAGAAUUGGAAUCAAUACAAGUCCAUCCAGAUUUUGUGAUGACUGCUUAUUGUUAUCUUUCGAAAAAUCCAUCAGCAAAGAGAUCCUUUUUUGGUGUUUCGCAUGCAAGGCGAUUAGAAUGGUUGAUGAGGAUUAUGUCUGACAAGUGACUAGAAGAUUCAGACCAAUUGAAUGCAUGUGGUAAGUGGUAACACUAAUAUUAUCUAGAAGCUUUAGGUAAAUUGAAUGCAUGUGGUAACACUGACAUUAGCUAGUGUUAUAUGAACUUAUUUUGUAUGAUUGUGUUGGGUAAGAAUGCUAAACAGUAUUUUGAUUAAUACAUUAUGAUUUAAUGAUUACUAGGAGUUAUCGAUAAUAUCAGAACUAGAUUCUACUUGAAUCCUUUAUGAUAAGGAAAUGGUAUUUGAUCCUAACUUCAAUUAGUAGAUCUUUUAUUUUAUUUCAAGAAAGAGACUUCAAUAUCACUUUCAAUUGAAAGUUUGCUAACUUAGUGUGCUGCUGUUUCAUGUCAAUUAUGUCUCAUGAAUGGUCAUUGAUCUGUAGAGUGCCCAAGGACUGUUGUAAGUUUGCUCUUGGUUGGUGUGAAGGGUUCAAAAUAUCAUAUUAUUAUGUUGGUAGUAGAAAAUGGAUGUGGAUGCUUAAUUUGGCACUCAACUGUUGCUGGUGUAAUAAUAGAUGGAUGUUAUUAAGUAAAAGUGACAGUAUUAUAUUUCAGUUUCUCUUCUAAAACAAGAAAUUGUAUUUUAGGGAGUAAGCAAGUUUUGUUUAGA